CCGCCAUUUCCCGUUGAUGAUCUUCACCGGUUGUCGUCGGGGCAUGGCAAUUUUACUUUGAAAAAAUUAGAGUGCUCAAAGCAUGCGUGACGCAUGAAUACUUGUGCAUGGAAUAAUGGAAUAGGACCUCGGUUCUAUUUUGUUGGUUUUCGGAACACGAGGUAAUGAUUAAGAGGGACAGACGGGGGCAUUCGUAUUGCGACGCUAGAGGUGAAAUUCUUGGACCGUCGCAAGACGAACUACUGCGAAAGCAUUUGCCAAGAAUGUUUCCAUUAAUCAAGAACGAAAGUUAGAGGUUCGAAGGCGAUCAGAUACCGCCCUAGUUCUAACCAUAAACGAUGCCAGCCAGCGAUCCGGCUGUGUUCCUCAAAUGACACGCCGGGCAGCUUCCGGGAAACCAAAGCUUUUGGGUUCCGGGGGAAGUAUGGUUGCAAAGCUGAAACUUAAAGGAAUUGACGGAAGCGCACCACCAGGAAUGGAGCCUGCGGCUUAAUUUGACUCAACACGGGAAAACUUACCCGGAUAGGACACAGGAAGGAUUGACAGAUUAAGAGCUCUUUCUUGAUUCUGUGGAAGGUGGUGCAUGGCCAUUCUUAGUUGGUGGAGUGAUUUGUCUGGUUAAUUCCGAUAACGAUCGAGACUCUAGCCUACUAAAUAGACGUUCCGAUCCUUGUUGUCGGACGUUCUUCUUAGAGGGACACGCGGCGUCUAGCCGCACGAGACAGAGCAAUAGUAGGUCUGUGAUGCCCUUAGAUGUCCGGGGCCGCACGCGCGCUACAUUGAAGAAAUCAGCGUGUGCUUUCCCUGCCUGACAAGGCUGGGUAAUCCGUUGAACUUUCUUCGUGCUUGGGAUAGGCUUAUGCAAUUACAGCCUUGAACGAGGAAUUCCCAGUAAGCACGAGUCAUCAGCUCGUGUUGAUUACGUCCCUGCGCUUUGUGCACACCGCCCGUCGCUACAUCCGAUGGAAUGAUUUAGU
rnacentral:rRNA from 1 species